rnacentral:rRNA from 1 species
CCUACGGGUGGCAGCAGUGAGGAAUAUUGGUCAAUGGGCGGGAGCCUGAACCAGCCAAGCCGCGUGAGGGAAGAAGGUACAGCGUAUCGUAAACCUCUUUUGUCAGGGGACAAAGGCGGGGACUAGUCCCCGUAUGAGGGUACCUGAAGAAAAAGCAUCGGCUAACUCCGUGCCAGCAGCCGCGGUAAUACGGAGGAUGCGAGCGUUAUCCGGAUUUAUUGGGUUUAAAGGGUGCGCAGGCGGCGUGUUAAGUCAGCGGUAAAAUGUCGGGGCUCAACCCCGGCGGGCCGUUGAAACUGGCGUGCUGGAGUUGGAGAGAAGUACGCGGAAUGCGUGGUGUAGUGGUGAAAUGCUUAGAUAUCGCGAAGAACCCCGAUUGCGAAGGCAGCGUACCGGCUCCACACUGACGCUGAGGCACGAAAGCGUGGGUAUCGAACAGGAUUAGAUACCCUGGUAGUC